GCCAGGCGUGGUGGUGCACCCCUGUCAUCCCAGCUACUUGGGAGGCUGAGGUGGGAGAAUUGCUUGAACUCAGGAGGCGAAGGCUGCAGUGAGCUGAGAUGGCACCACUGCACUCUAACCUGGGUGACACAGUGAGACCCCAUCUCAA
rnacentral:SRP_RNA from 1 species